AUUUUUUUUUUUGGUUUAGAUUUUGGAUCAAACUAGCCAUUGGCCCAACGGCUAUAUAGCCGUUUUUGGGUCCAAACGGCUAGUUUGGGUGCAUUAAUUAAAAAAAAAUUACUUUUAAAAUUAUUUUUUAAUCCCCAAAAAUUUUCUAUAAAUACCCUACACCUUCAAAUCAUUUUUCACAUAAUUUUUAAUUCUCUCAAAUCUCAUUCACUCUCAAAUCUGAAUUCUCAAUUCUCAAUUCUCAGUAUUCUAUAAAUUUAAUUUCCUAAAGUUCUCUAAUUUUUUAAUUUUGCGAUUACAAAGUACGAGUAGAAGUUUCUAAAGUCGGAACCUUCGGAUACUUCCAAAAUUUGGUAUUGUCGUUCCAUCUCUUACGUUUAAUUUUUAUUUAGUGUAUUAAUUGUUGAACAUUUAAUUUUAUUAUAUUUGUGUAUUUUGAAUUUUUUUAGUUUAAUUUAUAUUAUGGAUAAAUUAAGAAAGCUCGCUACUAAAGGUGUCAAAUUUUUUGUCCCGGAAGUGGUAGUGGUAGUAAAAAGUGAAUUACUAGCGGUAGAGAUAGUUCAAGUAGUAGAUAUACCCGUGUGCCUCCGACAUCGCUUAGUUAACCUUUUGAGGAAGAAUUAGGUGUACCUUUAGGUGUAGGUGCUCACGAUAUGGAUUAUGUAGAAUCUCAGGAAAAUUACGGUAUAGAAGAAGAAAAUGAUGUAGAUGCGGUUAAUUUAGACAAAGAUGAUGAAAAUAUUGGUGAAACACCCGCAGUAGGAAAUGAUAAUGUUAGAUCUGAAUCGGUUAAUCUCCCUUCCCGUCCUCCUCGUGCCCCAAGAUCUCGUAAAACAACUAGUAUUGCAUGGCAAUUUUUUGAACGUAUAUCAGAUACUGAGGUGCAAUGCAUUAUUUGUCAACAAAUAUAUAAGCAUAAAAGCUGAGGCAAGCAAGGGUGAUACGGGUCAAAGAGGCAUCUUAGCACUCGAGGAUAUGAAGACGUGAGGAAAGACCCAAGCUUGUAGGGCUGCCUAACCAAGGAACAAGCUUUAAAGUGUAGAGAACAAGUCCCAACACUCCAAAGAUGUCCAAGAAGCCAAGCCCCUUUGUUUGGGCUCAUUAAGGGCCUUUUGGUCAUUUAUGUAACAAGUGUUGCCCUAGCCUAUAAAUAGAACAAUUAGGUCAUUUUUUCAUUUAGACUUUGAUGAUAUGUUUUGAGAGCACCAUAGAGUGUCUUGCAAGGUGGAAUCCUUGUGUUGGUAGCUUUCUUAGAAACGUUGGUUGCUUAGGGAUUCCGGUUCCCUUGAGGUAAUGUAAGAGAUAGGUUUAUGUUGCGUUUGGUAUUAAAGGUCCAAGAGUGGAAUAAGCUCUUAGGUUGUUAAUAUUACAUCUCCAUUUGUCUAUCUUUCUAUCUUUACUUUGUUCUAAUCGUUGGUGUUCUUGUUCUAGUAUUGUAACCUGUGACUUGUUGUCAUUGUUAUAUCCUUGUUGUUGUUCAUCUUGUCUUCAUAUUGUUGUUGUUAAUCUUACUUUGGAUUGGCUGUUUUGGUGUUAAAACACACCCUUUAUCUCGUCAUUGUUGUUGUUAUUGUUGAAUCCGAAUGUGGUCUCUAAAUGAUCCUUGAAUCUUCGGAUUUGUGGACUGUUUUGAAUGUGUUUUCUUGUCUUUUUGAUAAUUCCAGUAUCAUUUGGUAUCAGAGCCAUCUUUGGUUUUGUUCCUACAACACCAAUCUUGAGCUCCCUUGGUUGAAAAUUAUAUAUAGAAAAAAGGUUUGAAAACUGAAAUUUCCAAAAAAUUGCAAAACUGUCCAUUUGGUGUUCUUGGCCGAAAAUUGUGUUAUUGUUGUGUAUUGGCCAAGAAUUUUUGUUUGUUUAGUUGUUUCUAAGUGUUGGCUUUCUUGUUCACUAACACUUUGAGUCUAAAAUCUAAACUUGAGCUUCAACUUGUUGGAGUUGUUGUUGUGAACUUGAAGAGUGGCCGAUUAUUGUUGUUCAUUGUGGUCUUAGCCGUGACUUGUU
rnacentral:lncRNA from 1 species